CCGUAACAUACUUACAUUCAAGAUAAAACUAAAAAAAAUUACCUAUACAUGAAAGCAAUUCAUAUGGUGAACACCAAACAGAAAUACUUAUCUGUCAGUAAGAAUUACAGUCAAAUCCAUCAUCAAAAAGAAUAGCCAAAUAGGUCUAAUUUAAUCAGACACACAAUUUAGACACAAUACCAAUAUUAGGCGUAUGAUAGAACUGAAACAAUGUUUACACCAAUUUAUAUUCUAGAUUGUAAUAUUUUCACAUUAAAUAUGUAUCUUAAUAAGCCACUCACUUCCACUUAGCAGUUUUACCCCUUAGUUUAUAUACAAGUGACACUUCAUAUAUUUUAGUUAUGAAGUGCUUCUACCUUUGAAGGAUUUCUUGAAAAUACAAUGGCUAUAACAUUUCCCAUGGGAUGGGGGAAGGCAAAUAGGCUGGCAGCUUGGGAAUGGCAGGAACACAAAAGACUUGCUGAAUUUGACAGCGGGAACUUGUUAUAGCUGUUUGGAUCUGUUUCCUACUAGCAGCUGCCAAAUUGAACAAUGUCAUUUUACAAAGAAGCCUGUACUACAGAAAAAUAUAAGUGCAUUGCAAUAUGGAGUUUAGGAGAAGAUAUCAUGGGAAAAGUGAUCCUAGAAGAUGAUAAAUUCCAGAAAGAGAGAAAGUGGAAAUAUUAUAAGACCAUAAGACAUAGCAGUAGAAUUAACCAUUCAGCCCAUUAAGUCUUCUCCACCAUCCCAUCAUGGCUGAUAUAUUAUCACUCUUAACCCUAGUCUCCCGCCUCCUCUGUGACUUUUAAUGUCCUUACUAAUCAAGAGAUGUGAGAUGACAAAUUAUGAGGUGAUUUCUUGAUAUUAUGGAUGGUUGCUAGAAAUUGUCAAUUGGAGAGUUCAAGGAUGUGUCAUAUGUAGAUUAUAAUAGUGGAGGUAUGCAAAGAGGGGAGCACUCUGGAAACAAGAGCUCAAAGGAAUGUUGGGAGAUUGCCAUGCCUGUUCAUGAUUCAACGCAGAUGAAUCAUAAACAAGCUCCCAGUGGCCACACAUUUUAAUUCCACGUCCCAUUCCCAUUCUGAUAUUUCUAUCCAUGGCCUCCUCUACUGUCAAGAUGAAUCCACACUCAGGUUAGAGGAACAACACCUCAUAUACUGGCUGGGUAGCCUAGAACCUGAUGGCAUGAACAUUGACUUCUCUAACUUCCGUUAAUGCCCCUCCUCCCCUUCUUACCCCAUCCCUGACAUAUUGAUUGUUUGUUUUUCUUCCUCUCUCUCUGCCCAUCACCCUUCCUGUUCUCCAUCUCCCUCUGGUGCUUCCCCCCCCCCUUUCUUUCUUCCGAGGCCUCCCAUCCCAUGAUCCUUUCCCUUCUCCAGCUCUGUAUCACUUUCACCAAUCACCUUUCCAGCUCUUAGCUUCAUCCCACUCCCUCCGGUCUUCUCCUAUCAUUUCGCAUUUCCCCCUCCCCCCACUACUUUCAAAUCUCUUAGUAUCUCUCCUUUCAGUUAGUCCUGACAAAGGGUCUCGGCCCAAAAUGUUGACAGUGCUUCUUCUAUAGAUGCUGCCUGGCCUGCUGUGUUUCACCAGCAUUUUGUGUGUGUUGCUUCAAAAACAAUAAUCACAUCAUUCUCCGCAAUUUCUGCUAUCUUCAUCAGGAGUCUACCACCAAACACAGCUUUAUCUACCCAGCCCCCCACUCCUUGCUUUCUGCAGAGAUCGAUCCCUUGUCCAUUUGUCCCUCCGCACUUUUCCCUGCUAUCGGCAGAAGGCUGAGUCGGUGGUGAGACGGCGAAUGCAAUGUUGGCAUUCAUUUCUAGAGGAAUAGAGUAUAGGAGCAGGGAUGUGAUGUUGAGGCUCUGUAAGGCACUGAUAAGACCUCACUUGGAAUACUGUGUGCAGUUUUGGGCUCCUUAUUUAAGAAAGGAUGUGCUGACAUUGGAAAGGGUUCAGAGAAGAUUCACUAGAAUGAUUCCGGGAAUGAGAGGGUUAACAUAUGAGGAACGUUUGACCACUCUUGGACUGUACUCCUUGGAGUUUAGAAGAAUGAGGGGAGACCUCAUUGAAACAUUUCGAAUGUUGAAAGGCAUGAACAGAGUGGAUGUGGCAAAGUUGUUUCCCAUGGUGGGGGAGUCUAGUAUGAGAGGACAUGAGUUGAUGAUUGCAGGCCGCCCAUUUAGAACAGAGAUGCGAAAAAAUUAUUUUUAGCCAGAGGGUGGUGAAUCUGUGGAAUUUGUUGCACGGGCGGCAGUGGAGUCCAAGUCAUUGGGUGUAUUUAAGGCUGAGAUUGAUAGGUAUCUGAGUAGUCAGGGCAUCAAAGGUUACGGUGAGAAAGCGGGGUAAUGGGACUAAAGGGGAGAUUGGAUCAGCUCAUGAUAAAAUGGCAGAGCAGACUCGAUAGGCCAAAUGGCCAACUUCUGCUCCUUUGUCUUAUGGUCUGAGUGCUACAGCUGCCCAUUCACCUCCUCCCUCAUCUCCAUUCAGGGUCCCAAACAGUCCUUCAGGGGAGUCCCAAACACUUCACCUGCAAAUCUGUUGGUGUUGCUUGUUGUGUCCAGUGCAUUGGCGAGUCCCGACGUAGAUUGGGGGACUGUUUUGUAGAGCACCUUAACUCCAUUUGUUAAAAGUGGUAUUUCCCAGUAACCAACCAUUUCGAUCCCUGCCCCCAUUUCUGACAUGUUGGUCCCAUGGCCUCCUCUUCAGUCAUGAUGAGGCCACUCUCAGGAUGGAGGAGCGACACCUUGUAUUUUUUUCUGGGUAGCCUUCAACUGAUGGCAUGAACAUCGAUUUUUCCAACUUCCAUUAUUUUUCCUUACCCCUUCUCUCUUCUUCAUUUCCCCACUCUAACCUCUUACCUCACCCUGGUGACUUUCCUCCUUCCCUUUCUCCCAUGAUCUAUUCUCCCCUCCAAUCAGUUUCCUUCCUUUUCAGCCAUUUUCCUUUUCCACUAAUCACCUCCCAUCAUUCCCCCUCACACACCAACCUAGUCCUCCUUCUCCUUACCCAAUCUUCUAAUUCUGACAUUUUCCCCUUUCCUUUCCAAGAUCUCUGCCUGAAACAGUGAUUGUUUAUUCGUUUGCAUAGAAGAUGUCUAACCUGCUCAGUCACUCUAGUAUUGUGUGGGUAUUGCUCUGGAUUUCCAGCAUCCGCAGGAACUCUCCUUCAUUAACUAAAAUUUUCCUGAUAGGUGAGGCAGAUCCUCUUUCUCCUAGAAGACUCCAAUUGUACACUCCUUUCAAGGACUCUACAAAUUCAUGUUCCCGGCAUUAUAUUUUUAUUCUUAUUUUGCCUUUGUUUUACUUGCACAGACUCUCUUCUUUUGUACAUGGUGGUUUGCCGCUUUUUGUUAGUGUCGUUUUUCAUUGAUUCUAUUGUAUUUCUUGAUCUACUGUGAGUGCCAGCAAGAAAAUAAAUCUCAGGAUAGAACAUGGUAACAUUCACAUACUUUGAUAAUAGAUUUACUUUGAACUUUGAAGUUGGCUGGCUUUUUUGAUUCUGGAACUUUUGCCGAAUUCCAGUAAAUUCAAACUCAUGAUAAAACCUGUGCGCUCACAGUCAGGGAAGGAGCCAACGAUCACAGGUGUUUUGUGGCAGAGGGAUGGAUCAAAGAAUAAUGACUUGGAGGGAAAAGAUUGUGAAACAUUGAUUGCGGGAGAUAUUGUGGAAGAGAAAUCAAAGAAAAAAGAUAAAGAUGAAAGAAAUGUCUAAAAAUAAUUGGGUGUCGAUUUUGGGGUAAAAUAUAGGCAAAGGAAUUUCUGAAAAUAGUCAUUUAUCUAUGAUAUAUAAUAAUAUUUUAAUACUUUUAAUUAACUUAUUUGUGGUAAUAAUCUACUUUAUUUGCUGUGUGUUAUAUAUGAAUCAUGGGUGCAUAGUGGCCUAGAGGAACAUUGUUUGAUGACAGUAAACUUGACUUGACAACAUGAUCAUUUAAAUAUCCUUGACCCUCAUAUAAAAUGUCAAUCCCCAAACCUGCCCUAUUUAAAUUGGAAGCAGAUGCACUCAUGUCAAAAUUUAUGCAAAAAUAUACUUCUGAUGCUUCAUACAUGCCCAAUUUGGUAGGCACCAAAUUACCCCAAAAUCAAUCAUUCUCAAUUUAAUUACAAUACCUAAUUGUUUUCAUUUUUCUGCAUUUAAAAUGAGAACUUUAAGAUAAAUGAAUAAGAAGCAAGAAUAAGCUAUUUAGCCCCUCAGGUAUGCUUCACAAUUCAACAUGACCAGUUUACUGUCCCAUUCACAGUAAAUUCUCUGCUAUCCAGAAAUCCAGCAAUUCAUAUUUUGAUUGCAACCUACAAAUGAGGCACCACAGACCUCUAAACAUACAGCAACAUGUGACUGAGGAAAUUCCUCCUCAUUUCUAUUCUAAGAGGCCUGCUCCCUAUUUUGCAACUCCAUAGCCAUGGGAAAUAUCUUUCAAAUAUCAAAGCUUUGUAUGUUGCCACUCAUUCUUCUAAAUUCUAGGAAACAGAUGCUCGGACUCCUCAGUCACUUCUCAGGUAACAGUUCCACCAUCUCCAAAACCAACCUGGUUGCAUUGCCUCUAUAGUAAGUGCAUCCUUCCUAAGGAAAGGAGGCCAAAAUUCUUGAUAAUAAUCCAGAUGAAGCUCUCUGUUUAAUAGCUCUAAAUGGAAUGAUUCCACUUUGUUCUAAAAAAAUCUUACAUUACUGGGCUUUAGGCAAAGGUACAAAAAAAAAUUGGAUUGAAGUAGACAUGCUCACUGGAAUCAAGGGAAUGGUAUUAGUCUUCAGCUAUGAAAACUUUCAAAAGCAGAUAAUUUUUAUUCUCCUCCUAAAAAACCCAUGUAUGGAUCUGAAAUAUUUGAGUAAAAUAACCUUCUUCCACUUACACUACAGCAAUGAAAAAUAAUAGAAAAAGCAAUUUUUAAUAUGCAUCACAUUUAUAUUUGCUAGUAACUCAGUUAGAAUGAGUAUCUUGUGCUUAGAGUGGAAAGGGAGAAGGUUACAGGCUUAUGAUUCUGAUAUAUAACAAUUCAGACAUUAUUAACAAAUCCUUUUCCUGCAUAUUUUUAUCUAUUUACAGAUGCAGUGCAGAACAAGUCCUCCCAGCCCAGCAACCCACUGAUUUAACACUAGCCUAAUCACAGGACAGUUUACAAUGACCAACUAACCUACUAACUCGUAACUCUUUGGACACUGGAAUACACAGAGGAAACCCGUACAAUUCACUGGGAGAACUUACAGAAUUGAACUCCAAACUCUGCCACACCCUGAGCUGUAAUAUCUUCACACUAACUGCUAAGCUCCCAUGUGCCCUUGGGUUUUCCUACUGACAAAAGUAUUUUUAAUCUUGAUACUGCUAUUUAGGCUGUUUAACAUAGCUGUCAUACAACUGUUCUCUAUCUGGAAUAGAUAAAUGACUUGGAAGAAAUAUUGGAAGGCAUCCCAAUACAUUUGCUGCAGUAUAAACUCGACCAUAGAUUAAGAUAAAAUCUAGAUCAAUUAAUAUAUCUAAUACCGUGAACACUCAUUCUAAUGCUUACACUGAUUCAAUUUGAAUUCAUUUGAAUCAGUGAAAUCCUGAAGACUUAAAGUCAGACUUGUAUUAUUUGAUUAUACUUUUUAAUGGUUUAAUUGCAAAAUUGCUCUUUCUGGGAAGAAUGUCAUUGAAUUAGGGCAAUGGAAACUUUAAACAAUUCAUGAGUGGAAGGCUAGCAAUAUGGAAUAAGGGAGCAGAGUUACAAGGUUGCUGUAAAAUAAGUUUAAAACACAUUUCAACAGGAAGCAACAUUUUUGAAUUGUGUGCGAAUAAUGUGUUGAUCCCUGAUCAUCUCUAAACAACAAUGAAAACUGCAGGUGCUAAAAACAGGAAGUGAGAACAAGGCUGGAAAUAGUCCAUUUGUCAAGAAGAUAGAAAUAGUUAAUAUUCUGAUGAAAAGUCAAGAACCUGAAAUAUUAUCUCUCUUUAUUUAUAUGCAGCCUGGCCUGCUGAAUAUUUCUAGUAUUUUCUGUUUAUAAUUUCAUGACCAUGUCACUGAGACUUACCUUCAUUAAAUCCUUCUUGUACAACAGCGUCAGUUCCUCCUGAAGCUGGGCUCUUUGGACAGAAUUUCUGAAGAUCCUCCUGACCGCUCUCAAUAUUAUGAUACACCCACUGAAUGGAGUCUUGCUACAUGGCCAAAACAGAAAUUAUAGAGAUAAAAUUAAUUUGAUCAUCACUAUUUCACACAACAUGACUCAUCCACUGUUAUUAAAAAGGGUUCUUUGAAGACCCUGACCUGGAGUUACACGCUGACUUCGGUUGUUUGCAGGAAUGGGACCCACUCUCGGGGUUUCACGAUUGGCCAUUAUUCGAUAUGCCAAGGAUGCAGCCUAGGAGAUUAGCUUGACUUUGGAGUUGCGGGAUCUCGUGGCUCUGGAAACAGGUGGACUGAAGGUCGGUGCCUCUGCCGGAAUUCAGUGUGUCGUGCGAGACGGAAGAUUGAAAGCAGUGAGCUGGCUGCUGGCUGUGUGCCAGAGGCCCGUUCUUUGGGCACAGAGCUCGAAAAAAGCAACGCAAUGGACUUUUAACAUCACAGAGCAGCGUGUUGUUUGUUAUGUCUCCCACCUCUCUGUGAAAAAGGGACAUCUCUUUUUCCCUUAAUAGGAAGAAAGAGAGAGAGAGCCUGUGAAGCUGAAAACAUACUUCAAGGAGUACAACUAUCAUCCAACUCAUAUCUGCAGUGUUUGAAAGGGUACUCACAGCCAGAAUCAGCUUCAGCCUAAACAAGAACCUGGACCAAUUGGCUCUCCAUUCAGCCUUGGAUUACAUGGACAAUAGCAAUACCUACAUCAGGCUGUUUUUUAUUGAUUAUAGCCAGCAUUCAACACCAUCAUACUCUCAGUUCUAGUCAACAAGCUCCAAAACCUGGAUCUCUGUACCUCCCUUUGCAACUGGAUCCUUGACUUUCUCACCGGGAGAGCACAGUCAAAUUGUAAAUAACAUCUUCUCCUUACCAACAAUCAACACUGACACACUUCAGGGAUGUGUGCUUAGCCCACUGCUCUACUCUCUCUACAAACACGAAAAUGUAGCUAGGUACAGCUCAAACACCAUCUAUAAAUUUGUUGACGGCACAACUAUUGCUGGCAGAACUUCAUAUGGUGACGUGAAGACGUACAGGAGCCAGGUAAAUCAGCUGGUUGAGAGGUGUCACAACAACAACCUUGCACUCAAUGUCAGUAAGACCUGGGAAUUGAUCAUGGACUCCAAGAAGGGGAAAUUGAGGGAAUACACACCAGUCCUUAUCAAGGGAUCCACAGUGGAAAGGUGAGCAGUUUCAAGUUCCAGGCUGUCAACAUCUUUGAAGAUCUAUCCUGGGUCCAAAAUAUUGAUACAACUACAAAGAAGGGGCAACAGGGGCUAUGUUUCAUUAGGAGCUGAGGAGACUGGGUAUGUAACCAAAGACUCAUGAAAAUUUCAACAAGUGUACCAUGUAGAAAAUCCUAACUGGUUGCAUCACUGUCUGGUAUGGAGGGGCCACUGCACAAGAUCAGAAAAAAGCUGCAGAAAGUUCUAAACACAGCCAGCUCUAUCAUGGACACUGGCCUCCCCAGCAUCAUGGACACUUUCAAAAGACAAUGCCUCAAGAAAGAGCCAUCCAUUAUUAAGGACCCCCAUCACCCAGAACAUGCCCUCUUCUCAUUGUUACCAUCAGGGAAGAGGUACAGGAGCUGAAGACACACGCUGAAAGUUACAGAAACAGCUUCUUCCCCUCUGCCAUCAGAUUUCUGAAAUGACAAUGAACCUAUGAACACUAACCCAUUAUUUUUUUGCUCUCUAUUUGCACUGCUUAAUUUUAUAUAUAUUUUUUUCUUAUUGUAAUUUAUUGUUUUUAGAAUUAUUAUGUAUUGCGAUGUACUGCUGCCACAAAACACUAAAUUUCCUGACAGUUGAGGACAGAUGAUCAAAAUGGGAUUGGGGUGAUCAGUUAAAUGAUUCCUUUUAAAGCCAUACUAGAGUUGUGUCUGACUAGGUAUUGCAAUAGAUGGAGAAGAACUAUUUUGCUUCCUUGAGUGGAUGCCAAGAUUACAUUUAACUUUAUAAAUAUAUACAGCAAUACAGCAUAAGCUUGUUGGGCCAUCAUAGUUAGGACUAUCCAGCUCUUUAGCAGCAAACCACAUGUGUCUAUUUGCUUUUACAGAGAAACAGGCAACAGAUCAAAGAGAAUAGUAGGUGAUUUUAAAGUGGUAAACCCAAUGCAUUACCAUUUUAUUAUCGAGUACCUCAUUUAUUCUGACUUGGAUUUUCUAAAUGAUGCAAAUACAGGGGCAAUACAAAACAGGACAUCAUUGCAAGGCUUUGGAUUUAAAAAGAAAAAUCAAAACUAUGGCAAUUAUGGUAAGAAAGAACUUCAGCCAAAUAAAGGAGCACCUUAGUAAAAUUGACAGGUGGAUGUGUUAGUGCAACGCUUAUUCACGUGUAGCUACAUGAAUAUUUUUAAUCUGAAACUUUGAGGCAUGUGGAAUAAACACAAAUCUCGUGCGAUUUUAAAUGAAUUAACCAAUUAAUCAAAAAUGUGGAGGAAGAACAAAAAUUCUACAAUUUUGCUUGGAAGUUGGAAUCAAUAUAGAAUUAUUCUAAAACUGCUGAAAGGAUGAUUUCAGAAAUACACAGAAAACCCAGAGAAAGUAUAAUUGAAGAUACGAACACGAUUUUGUGUGUGUUGCUUUAGAUUUCCUGCAGGUGUUCUUGUGUUUAAGACAUCUUCCAAUGCAAUUUGUAGACCACAUCUUAACUACUGUUUGGGGUCUGUAUACAACUUUUGCAGUUCCUUAGCUCUAUCCACAAUGAUUCAACACCUUCCGACCCUAUGUCACCCUCUUUCUAAUGAUUUAAUAUCUUUUUUUUGCCAAUAGAGCCACACCACCCCUUCUGCCUACCUGCCUGUCCUUUUGAUAGAAUGAAUAUCCUUGGAUGUUAAGCUCUCAGCUUAACAUUCUUUCAGCCACAACUUAGUGAUCCCCACAAUGUUAUACAUGCCAAUCUGUAACUGCACUGCAAAUUCAACCACCUUAUUCCAUAUUCUGCAUGCAUUCAAACGUAAGACCUUCAGUCCUGUAUUCACCCCUUUCGAUUCAGUCCACCUUAUACGUUGCAACUCUAUUCCUUUAAUACGCACAGACAGAACCACAUGGAUUUUUAAAAUGGUCUUAUCUGUUUUCUGUCAGCCUCAAAGGAUUGUGUAAGUGCAGCUUCUUGUCUUUAGGUACUUGCUCCCUUUUAGGAUUUAGUUUACAAUAUUAGGCUGUAGUCAGUUAAGUAAUUCACUGAGUGUCUGACUUAUCACCAGACAUAGGUACACGGGAAAGGUGAGAUCCUGAAGAAAAAUAGUACUGGGCCUCAAGGGAGGAGAGUGGAGAAGUGGGGUUAAUUGAAUAAUUCAGUAUGGGUAUCAAAAACCUUGGCAAUCUUCUAUAGAUUUGUGGUGGAAAGUGCGCUGACCGGUUGCAUUACAGCCUGGUACGGGAACGCUAAUUCGUUUGAGUGGAAAAUCCACAAAAGGUAGUGGAUUCAGCCCAGUACUUCAUGGGUAAAGCCCUCCCAACCAUUGAGCAUAUAUACAUGAAACAUUGCCAUAGAAAAGCAGCAUCCAUCAUCAAAGAUCCUCACCACCCAGGCCGUGCUCUUUUCUCACUGCUGCCAACAGGUGGAAGGUAUAAGUGCUUCAGGACUCGUACCACAAGGAUCAAGAACAGUUACUACCCCACAACCAUCGGGCUCUUGAUCAAAAGAGGAUAACUACACUCAUUCUAUUUCUGGUGUUCCCACAACCAAUGGUCUCACUUUAAGGACUAGAUCUUGUGAUUUCAUGCUCUUUCUUUUCAAGUUCUUUCAUGCUCAUUUUUUAUUGCUAUUUCUUUAUAUUUGCAUUUGCCUAAUUUGUUGUUCAUUGAUUCUGUUUACAGUUUCUGUUCUUUGAACACAGUAACAUUAAACUGAACAGCCUCCUUUUGUGCUGUAUCAUUAUGUGAAACUAUGAUCAGGCAAGUGAUUUAUUGGUGGUGUGUGUCAGAGUGAUUUUUGAGUUUAGGGCAUUUAGCAAUUGACUUUGUCUACCAGUUUUCACAUCUGAAAGUAGUACUGGGGAUUCAAUUUAGAGUACAGCUCUGAACAAUGGGUUCCUAAAAGUUGUGAAUCCCAUUCCAGACAAUGCUGAUUAAAAUUCAUUUGGAUGUCAGUGGUGUGGUUUGAAUCAGGAGAUGUGAUGUUUGUGUGGAGUUUCAAAGAAAACAUUGUCCAUACAUUGUAAAUAUGGAGUUGUCCUUUGAUCUUUAGCGUAUAAAAUAUUGAGCCCAAUGUUGGGCCAGAGGGACCAUUCAACUGAAAGCGUCUCCAUUUGAUGCCUGCUGUCCUUGUUUUAAAUAAAGAAGCUGUUUUGUAUCUACCAGUAAUUUUUUCUGGUGACUUCAUUCAUGCAACAGCAGUGUGGAUCUGGUGUUUUUAUUAACUCUGGGAAUGUUUUACAUUGAUUGCGAUGUACAGUAAGUCAUGUGAUGUAAUGAAUAUCAGAAUUUGUUACAGGAUGUCAUGGAACAUCAAAUCACUUGCCCCAAAUUUUUUAUGUUGUUGAGACCUUUACAGUUGUUCUUUUUUCCCUAAUUGAUUAUGCACAAAUGAAAAUAGCUUUGAUCUCAGAUCCAGAUUUAAAUACUGAAGAUUUAAUGUGUACUUCUUGAAAUGCCAGGUUUUAAAUCCUCAAUCCUCAAACUCCAGGUAGAGAACUCCCUCUUCCUUAAUCCAUCUCAGACUUCUCAUUUGGUAGCAAUCUUCCCUUCAAGCCAAAAUAUUCCAUGUUGAAAGGUUUGAAUUCAAAUCUGUCUGGUUGAAGAAUAUUUUCAGAAUUUUGUUCUUAAUUAAAUUGUGCCCCUUUACUUUCAUGUCUUCUCUGUGGUUUUUUUUU